rnacentral:rRNA from 1 species
CGCUGACGAGUGGCGAACGGGUGAGUAAUACAUCGGAACGUGCCCAGUCGUGGGGGAUAACUACUCGAAAGAGUAGCUAAUACCGCAUACGAUCUGAGGAUGAAAGCGGGGGACCUUCGGGCCUCGCGCGAUUGGAGCGGCCGAUGGCAGAUUAGGUAGUUGGUGGGAUAAAAGCUUACCAAGCCGACGAUCUGUAGCUGGUCUGAGAGGACGACCAGCCACACUGGGACUGAGACACGGCCCAGACUCCUACGGGAGGCAGCAGUGGGGAAUUUUGGACAAUGGGCGAAAGCCUGAUCCAGCAAUGCCGCGUGCAGGAUGAAGGCCUUCGGGUUGUAAACUGCUUUUGUACGGAACGAAAAAGCUUCUCCUAAUACGAGAGGCCCAUGCGGUACCGUAAGAUAAG